rnacentral:rRNA from 1 species
AACGAACGCUGGCGGCAUGCCUAACACAUGCAAGUCGAACGAGACCUUCGGGUCUAGUGGCGCACGGGUGCGUAACGCGUGGGAACCUGCCCUUAGGUUCGGAAUACCUCCCCGAAGGGGGUGCUAAUACCGGAUAAUGUCUUCGGACCAAAGAUUUAUCGCCUUUGGAUGGGCCCGCGUUGGAUUAGCUAGUUGGUAGGGUAAAAGCCUACCAAGGCGACGAUCCAUAGCUGGUCUGAGAGGAUGAUCAGCCACACUGGGACUGAGACACAGCCCAGACUCCUACGGGAGGCAGCAGUGGGGAAUAUUGGACAAUGGGCGAAAGCCUGAUCCAGCAAUGCCGCGUGAGUGAUGAAGGCCUUAGGGUUGUAAAGCUCUUUUACCCGGGAUGAUAAUGACAGUACCGGGAGAAUAAGCUCCGGCUAACUCCGUG